AAAUAGGACUUAAGAGCUUGGGAAUUGGGAUGGGAAUUUUACGAUUUUUUGUGUAAUACACAGCAUUCAUAAAACUGACAAAACUGUCAUAAGUAUCACAACUCAAGCAGCACUACAUAAAAGACAGAAGGAGUAUUGGAAUAAGUCAUGCAAAAAUCUAAAACAACAAAGAAACUGCAGUUUGGUUGGACAAUGUCACCAAAGGUACAUUUUUGGUAUUUAGUUUAAAUAAGAUAGAAUUUUUGAUUGAUCCUAAGGGAAACCAGUGCACAGGGUUUGCAAAUCAAAUAUCCAUGACAUACAGUAGCAGCUGAGUCUUUAGGGACCCAAGGUGGAAACCAAAGCAUUGCAGAUUCAAAUCAGGGUAUGCACUAAUGCUGGGCCAGUAGCUGGAGAGGUGCUGGUUUAACUCUUUAGCAAAAGCACCAAACCCCUUUCAGUGUUCUCACUCUGUUAUCUCCUUGUUACUGUAUCUUCAUUAGGUCCUGUUCAUAAAUAUGGAUCAUGUUCAUAACAAGGUGAGAGAAACUGUCUCAAUAAAGUAUGUCUUAACUUAUGUGAAGAUCAGCGGUCAGUCUAAAUUGUACUUCUACACUUGACUCUCAUAUCUGUUGCUUUGUUGACCUGCUGACCCGAUGUCUCUCCUCACUUCAGCCCACACUCCUUUCACUGUCAUGCUCUCUCUCUUGCAGCUGCCUUGCUGCCUCAUUCUCCUGCAGGUCGGAGAAGAAAAAAAAACACAACCCAGAGCCCGUGGGCAUGACUGGCUGCUUCAAAUCGGAUUUUAGAUGUUGGUGAAGAAGUUUGCCCGGGUAAGACAGGGGAAAGAAUUACUCAUUGAGGCCAGGAAUGCACACAAACACACAAUCUCUAGACUUCAUUAUUAGACCUGACUGGAUUUAUGUGCAUGUUGGUAUUGUCAGGACUGUCCUCAGGCAGCUUGAGCGUUAUCUUCCCGUACAAGCUGAUACACUAUCUCAUCCCAAACAUGAACAGCUCAGCCUUCGCUUCAUGGAGUUUUCUUUGUUGCGCGGAUGCAGACUUUAACUGAUAUGAGCAACCAUGUGGGAGAGUUUGAGAUAAAGGAACAAAGAGGAGGAAAUACCCUGAAACUAACAGGGGCAGCGCUGGGUAUGAAGGUGUCACUGUUACAACAAAUGACCAGUGUUAGAGCCCCCAUAUUCUCAAGUCUCAGACAACAAGAACUAGUGAAUCACAUCCAGGGUAUCUCACUCUUUCUGUAAAUGUUAUCUGUGAUCAUUAUUGUUUGGCACACUUUCUUCCCAUCAGUACCCACCACCUUUUCUCUUCCCCUAAACCUCUUCUGAGAGGGGGAAAAUAAACAGAGGCUCAUAGUUCCAGUAGCAGCGCAGCCAGUUUCCUGCCCGUCACUUCUGCAGCCUCUUUACCUUUUACAGAUUCAUUUCCUGCCUCUUGCAUCACUUCCUGUGGCACAAUGUGAAUGAACUCCAAGGAUAGUAUAUGUCCUGAAGUUACAUUUGGGGAACCAGUGUGUCUGGUAUCAGCAAAACUGUUUACAUCAGAUUCUUUCCACUGAGUCAGUCACACUCAAAUUAGAAAGGCUUAUUUAAAACGCAGGUUUCCUGAAUAAAAUACAGGAACUGGAUGAUUUUCCUUUCCCUUUUUACCUCUGGAAAAAAAAAAACCUAAACCUUCAUUACAUCACUCAUCUAAAAGCCUGAUUUGGAUGUUUCUGAGGGGCUUUUUCCCUUUAAUUCCAUUUAUGAGCUUUAACUUUGGGACUGCACUGAGUUGAAGUUUAAAUUGGUGAUGGGAAUUACGGCUGUUUUUAGUGAGCCAGAUCAUUCGGCUCAGCUCACCAAGAAAAGGCUCACAAAUGGCUCUUCAUUUUACCACUUAUACAUUAUACAUUGUGGGGGAAAAAAAGAGAGAGAAAAAAGAAGAAAAAAAAAACAGCUCACAGACAGGAGCCGGCUCCCAUCGUUCACAGCUCUUUGAACCGGUUCGUUCGCGACCGACACAUCACUUGUUUAAAUGACAGCUUUAAUAAGAGUUAGCUUGUCAGAUACCAAGGAGAGACUGGAUCUACUGACUCCAUCCUCACUCCUAAAACACUUUAUUUUAACAGAAUAGGGUGUUUCAUUUCUACUGAUGUGAAAGAUGUUUGCAGCAUGACACCUUGAAGUCAUUUUGACAAAAGAAUCAGAUCUUUCUGUAAACUGCACCUCUGGCCAUAUUUACAGUAAACUGAAUAAUCCUGUAUGUGUAAGGGGAUCAUUUCCUAAUCCUUGCAUUUCCUUGGCCUUAAAACUCAGAGAUAAGUUUGUCUAGACACAGCCUUAAAGCAGGGUGUUCUCCUUUUGGAGGAUUGGAGGACAGGAGGCCAUAGAGAGGACACCGCACCUCCUGACCCCUUUACAUCAAGACAACCACUGGCGGCUUGUUUUAGUGCACUUGAUACUUGGCUCAGCAUUUGAGUCUAAAUCAAAGAAAAAGACAAAAACCACAUGAAUGAGGGGCUGGAGUUGCUCAUUUCAAAAAAAAAAAAAAAAAAAAAAACAAUUGUAAAAAAAAGUAUAGAAAUGGGGGGGGGGGGGGGGGGUACAUUUAACCAUAUUUCAAACACUUGAAUAAUGUCAAAUUCAAAGAUUAAAAAUAAACACCUGUAAUAGAAAGUGUUGUUCCCUGCUGUGAUAAAUAAGUGUUAGAGGACAGUACAACAAACACAAAUAAGCACUGUCAUUAUCAUCAUCACUAAAAUAAACAAGUUUCCUCUUAUUCCGGUCUAAAUUCUGAAAAACGACCACCAUCUGUCCCAGCCCACAGAUCUCCCUAAACAGAUAAUCCUCAAUCCCCUCCAAAGGACAGAAAAAUAGAGUCACAGUUGCAUUCAAAGGCCACAAGGGGGCCUUGAAUGGCACUCGUUAGGUUUUAAAUGACAAAUGCAGUCAUCCUCAGAUCCAGCUUUUUUGCUGAGUUUAAUUCAUUUUAUCCCCAUCAGCUGGAUUUAGAGGGAUUUGUGGAAAUGAUACUGAUGCAACUUGAGCUCCAUAUAUGAAAAAACAAGUCUGACUGAGAGGAAGAGUGUGUGUUACUUUGAAACCUCAAAAAGGUUGUGUUUAAGUGUAAUCUGAUGCAAAGCACUUUUAGUGAGGUGAGUGGAAGAAAAUGGGAAGAUUGGAAAACAGGGUCAAACUUAUACAUGGACAAAACUGUCUCAUUGGACAGAUGUGUCUUUAUUUGUUCAACAAACAGGCCAAGAGGUCAAAUGUUUCUGGUACAUGCAGCUGUGGUGUUCAUGUACAGUAAGGCAGGUCUAAGGACUGUUUAAUGAUAAAGGUGAUGAAAAAGCAGGCAUCAGAUUCACAGCUGUUCAUUCCAGGCUGACAUCCUCUCACACACACACAUACACACUGAAACCACUGGACGCAGAUGUAAAGAGUCCAAGAGGGGCAGGCUAAGAGAAAAAGUAGUACCGAGAGUUUGAAACAGCCUUCCAGAGUCAUGGGCUGAAGUCAAAAACAGGCUGAAAACAGACCCCUGACAUUAAAUUAGACAAACUCUGCCUCCUAAUUGGAUGUCUGCCUCAUGCUCCUGAUAAACCUCAUCAGUCUCUAUUGUUCCGUUAACCCCUGCUCAGCCGCACUCAUCCAACGUCAUGAUGCAAAGUGCUGCUGACAGGAAGGGCUUUGACCACACGGGCUGACCUUUGACCUCUGUGUAACAACGCCCUCCCGGCUCCUCCUCUAACGCUGCCCCCCCCGCCAUCUGCGUUCAUUCUUUCACUGAAGUACAUCGAGGUUGAGGUCCACGGAGGUUGUCCUGAGCAGAACAGGAGCUGUUUACUUCCUAGAGAUGGGUGUCCUAGUUUCAUUCACAGGACAAUCUGCCUAUUGUGCGCCUGCAGGCAUCUACCAAUUGGUUCUCCACAGGCUGACAAUCCAAUAGAGGCUGAAUUAAGAACAUGAGCCCUGUGCUAACAUCCUCCACACGCAAAGACACGCUUCUUCACCCAUGAGGAGAAGAACAACAAGAUGACAAGAUACGUCCAAACUAUAUGUGAAUUUUAAAAAAGUAUUUGACUGCAUGUUUUGUUUUUGUUUUUUUAUUCCUGUGUUUGAAAAGUUAUCAAAUUAAAAUGAGGAAGAAAAUUAAGAGAUAAAUCUGUUGAAUUGUCCGUCAGUUGGUCUGGAUAGAUUGCUGUGAAGUUGCAAACACAAGUUUUUGCCUUUAUGAUUUUUUUUUUUAUCACAUUAACUUUAAUUUGGCACAAUAAGAAACACACAUUUGUCCGAUGCAGUCGGUAAAAGACACUUGCAAACUCACUGAUGAUAUUAAUUAGGGGUAGGAGAAAAAAAUCAAUACAGCAUAGUA